UGGCGAGCCUGAUCUGCCAUGCCGCGUGAGUGAUGAAGGCCUUAGGGUCGUAAAGCUCUUUCGCCAGGGAGAUAAUGACGGUACCUGGUAAAGAAACCCCGGCUAACUCCGUGCCAGCAGCCGCGGUAAUACGA
rnacentral:rRNA from 1 species